UAAAAGUGGUUUGACUUUUGGUACUCUCUCGGCCACACAAAUAUUUAUACCCACACUUUUGGACAGUGACGAUAUGAAUUUUUAAUUUAAAUUCAUUUAGUGUUGUUCUUUACAUAAUCCAUCAAAAGAUGUUGUUUGAGAUGGCGCUGGUGACAGGUGGGGAUUAUGACCAGCAAGAAUAUCACUACAUGAAAAUGAUUACGUUUGUAUAAUUCUGUGUCGUCGUGUGCAUGAUAAUUCAAAUCAACAGCACGGUAAAUGCCUAUGAGGAAGAUUGAAAAAAAGUUCAAUUUGCUAUGAUGUCACUCAAAGUCCAAGGUUCAGGACGAAAAUCGGCCAAAGUCUAAUACAUAAUUGAUUGAAACAAACACGAAUAUUGCAUAAUGUGCGAAGCAGGUGCCCAUCUACAGCACCACCUUAACGAACACAGAUGAUGGGUACAGGUGAGUGUCUUGACUUGGCAGCUUGUGCUGAAUAGUACAUAUGCCUUAUGCGUGUACAUAUAUUUGAUCAAAUGGGCAUGACGGACAAUGGAAAUGAAGCCGAGGCAAGUUGAGAACGUCUUGGAUUUCUCAAUUCCAACCCCACAAGGACCAACCAUCAAAGGACGCUCUUGAAAAAUAAUGUCUCCUUGUGAAAUGUCCUUUGCUGCCUCCAGGUACCUCCCUCGGAUGGAGUCGGC